GGUCCUUUGAUUUUGGGGAAGAUAUAAAGCGUGCGGCACUUAUAAUACAUGCUAGGGAAAUGUGUGUAACAUCCCGGACAGGUGAGUAAUAUUUUGGUUCCAACCAGUUGGUCGGAUCGAAGAUCCGAUUACCCAUUCGCGGAUGGGGAAAUAUAUAACAUAGCCAACUGGUCGGCCAGAACCGUAUUAGGUUGAAGGCAUAGACCUUGCCGAAGAUGCGUAGCCGAGAGGCCACACUUUCACUGGAACAAGGGGGAGACUUGUAGAGGCAGCAGUAGAGAAUUUUGUGCAAUGUAUGAAAGUAUGACACAGAGAUGCCGCAAGAAGACCGUCAAAUAUACGUGCCAGCAGACGCGGUUAUACGUAAGGUCUAAGUUUUUAUCGGGAAAGGCGUAAAGGGUGUGUAGGCAUAACCCAUCCGCCGCCGCCCUUGGCGGGUCGGCCUUUUAGGCCGUUUGGCGGGGGGGGUUGAGGUUUAAGGGGUAAAUGGAACUUUUAUGUAGCGGUAGAAUGCUUUAAUAUAAAUUGGGAACACCGGAGGCGAAAGCAAUUUACUAAUCAACCUGACGCUGAGACACGAAAGUAGGGGUAGCAAACAGGAUUAGAUACCCUGGUAGUCCUUACUGUAAACUAUGGAUAUGAGAUCGCUAGCUAUAUGAGCGGUCAACGAGAACUUAAGAAAUCCCGCCUGAAGAGUACGAUCGCAAGAUUAAAAUUCAAAAAAUUUGGCGGUUCACUAACCAAUUAGAGGAGCGUGUAGUUUAAUUCGAUAUUCCGCGAUUAACCUUACCAAAGCUUGAAUAUUUAAAAUUAGGGGGCCUCAUCCCCCCCGGAUCGGGCGACCGAUCCGGGGGGGAUUCGAGGGUUAGGCCCGUGCAUUGGAUUGGCUAUUAAAUACAGGUAUUGCAUGGCCGUCGUCAGUUCGUGUUGUGAAAGAAAUAGAACGAACUCAACCCUUGAUCCCCCCAUCCCCUAAAGGGGAUGGGGGGAUUGAAGGAUGACGUCAGGUCCUUAUGAUCCUAAUGUUUUGGGCGAUUUAUGCGCUACAAUUUUUUAGACAAAGAGAUCAUAAAGCUCCAAAGUAAAAGCCCGAAUUGUCUCUUUGAAAUAAAGACAUGAAGUUGGAUUUAAUAGUAAUCGGAAAGUAGAGCGUUUCGGUGAAUGCGGCUCUAGUGUUCGUACAAAUCGCCCGUCACCUCCACCAAGUAAAUGAUCCCAAAGUGCCGAAGUCCGACUAAUGAUAAAAGACAAACACAGCCUUGGCCCCCCGAUCGAAGAUCGGGGGGCCGACCCCAUAUGUAGGUUUCCGGAUCAACCCCCCGAUCUUCGAUCGGGUGGCCGAUCCGGCCAAGCUUUAAGAUGCCCAAUCCGCCGCCGAAGGCGGAUUGGGGAUCCCCGUGGCAUCCCCUUUAGGGGAUGCGACGGGGAUUGGGCUCGGUAGUACGGAAAGUUUAUAAGGUUGAGGAAGUCGUAACACAGUGAGGGUAUUGGAAAAUGUCCUCGGAUUAAU
rnacentral:rRNA from 1 species